AUGGCGCUCGCGCCCGGCUCCAGCGGCGCCUCCGUACGCUGGCUGCCGUCCUACACCGCGGUUGCGCGCUCACCUCCGUCCCACUGCGGCCACAUGCUGGGCGCCCCCGUCUACCUGGGCUUCCGCGUCGACGGUGAGUGCCGCAACCCGUCGUUUGCCAACUACUACUACGAGGACGUCGAGGAGGACACGCCGCCGUCGUACUCCCCGGGGGCCCCCUCUCCUCCAUCCCAGUGCGGCCUCAUGCUCGGAGACCCCUUUCCCCCGAGCUUCGGCGGCCGCCGCGGGUGCCACAACCCGUCGUCUGCCGACCACUACGAGGAGGACAUGACACCGUCGUACACCCCGGGUGCGCCCUCGCCGCCGUCCCAUUACGGCCUCAUGCUGAAGUCCACGGACGCCGCCUUCUUUCCGGGCUCCGGCGUCGGCAGCGAGUGCCAUAGCCAGUCGUCUGUCCAGCGCAACGAGGAGCACACGCCGUCGAGCCCUCCCCCGCUCGCGAGCUCCAAGGAUUGCACUCCGUCGAGCCCUCUGCCGUCGCCGGGCUAUACUCCGUCGGACACGGAGUCGUGCACGUCGCCGUAUUACACACCAUCGACCCCGACGCCCAGCACGCCGGCUCCGUCGCCCCUGGUGUCCGAAGCCGAGUCAUCCACGUCUGCACCGCGCCGCCGCCACCAUCCGUACCAGAGGAGUGGCGCCAGCAGAAUCAACCGCGGAGGACGGCAGCAGACCUUGAGAUAUUGA
rnacentral:rRNA from 1 species